GUUUCUGGGACGUUUGUCCGCUUUCUAAUACAAGUUCUAGCUUGCUAGACAUGACUUUUUUAUUAUCUGGCCUCAAAUCAGGUAGGACUACCCGCUGAACUUAAGCAUAUCAAUAAGCGGAGGAAAAGAAACUAACAAGGAUUCCCCUAGUAACGGCGAGUGAAGCGGGAAGAGCUCAAAUUUGAAAUCUGGUGGCCUCAGGCUAUCCGAGUUGUAAUCUAUAGAAACAUUUUCCGCGUUGGCCCAUGUACAAGUCUCUUGGAAUAGAGCGUCAUAGAGGGUGAGAAUCCCGUCCUUGACAUGGACUACCAGUGCUUUGUGAUAUGUUUUCAACGAGUCGAGUUGUUUGGGAAUGCAGCUCAAAAUGGGUGGUAAAUUCCAUCUAAAGCUAAAUAUUGGCGAGAGACCGAUAGCGAACAAGUACCGUGAGGGAAAGAUGAAAAGCACUUUGGAAAGAGAGUUAAACAGUAUGUGAAAUUGUUGAAAGGGAAACGAUUGAAGUCAGUCGUGUCUAUUGGACUCAGCCGGUUCUGCCGGUGUACUUCCUUUAGAUGGGGUCAACAUCAGUUUUGAUCGCUGGAAAAGGGCUGGAGGAAUGUAGCACUCUCGGGUGAACUUAUAGCCUUCUGUCGCAUACAGUGGUUGGGACUGAGGAACGCAGCUUGCCUUUAUGGCCGG
rnacentral:rRNA from 1 species